UAGAGAGGGGAAGGGAGGGAGAAAGAGAGAGAGAGAAACAUCAAUUUGUUGUUUCACUUAUUUAUGCAUUUAUUGGUUGUUUCUUGUAUGUGUCCUGACCGGGGAUCGGACCUGCAAACUUGGUGUAUUGAGAUGUCGCUCUAACCAACUGAGCUACUCAGACAGGCUGAGAAUAACCUUCCUCUUUAAUAAACAAGGGACCGUACUCUAACCUAAGGCAGCAGAGGUGGCUUGCUGCUCAUAUCUGAGAGGAGCAGCAGACCACUGGACCACAAAGUGUUUUUGAAUUUUGUUUGUUUUGAAUAAUAUAUUUCAUAUUUCAGCCCUGAUCUGAAUAUUACCUUGUAGUAGUGAUGGUGGGAUGAGUUAAUUUGAAGUCUGGAAAGAUUGUUAUGACGUGGGUAAUAAUUUAAUGACAGGUAAAAUUUGAAGGAAUUGUGAUAAUGUGCUAUUUUUGUCGUCCCCCCCCCAUUUUGAAAUUCUAGCAGUCUCCCCAAGAUCUUCCAAUAUGGAGAAAUGUUGGGGCAUUCUAUUAUAAAAUUUGCAGCACCUUUCCUUUCCCUGAGGUUUAAAAA